GUUUAACACAUGCUGUAGGGUAGUUGAUACUCUGCCCAUUGAUGCAUAGUAAUAAGCAGCAGCAUUGUAAGGUUGUAACAAAACACUGCAAAGACCGAAUCGAUUUCUUAUGCUUCAUGGAUUAAAGGUACAGUGAUGUAUUAGAUUUGUUUGUAAAAUGUUUGGCGAUUGUUUGAUUUGUUUGUUUUCUAAUUUAAUUUGGUUUUAACAUUUCCAUUUGUUCUUUUUUUUUUCUUUUUGUUAAUGGUUUUUCUUUCUUUAUGUUUAUGUUUCUUUUCUUUUCAUUGCUAUCGUUCUUUUCGGCGUUUCCCAACCAGAAUGGUUCAAAAUGCAUACAUAAUUAGGUCACGAUACUCGGCAGCUUCUUUUAAAAAAAUCCUGCUCUUCGCCAUUGGUGUCAAUAUGCCAUUUCUACUUGAUACUAUUUUAGAGCUACCGGUGUUGUUUUAUACCAGAUCCCGACCUACACAUAACCUGAUUUUGCUUUCGGCUUCUCCCUGUGUCAUAGCAGCCCCUUUGUAGACCCAACGCUCUUGACAAUUUUGUAUUGUACAUCAAGUUUGACUCCAUUGCAAUACGUGAAUGAUAACAAAUACUUCCGAUAAUGGUCACUUGCACUGACUAAUAAACCAAUGCCUUACCCUACAUAGCAAGAAGGAACAAGUGGGCAUCGCACUUUAGCAAAUUCUUCGUAUUCGCUACAGUAGCGUAAAGCUAAGAAAACGACGAAAAAAAAUACAAAUUACGGUAAGAAAGACGAAAAAUUAAAGAAAUAAAAAAAAUAAAGGAAGAAAUACGAAAAAGAAGAACGUAAAGAAUAAAAGCUCCUUUGACCGUUCCUUGUAUGCAUUUUUUACAAAUUGUUUGAUGUAUUUUUAAACAAAAAGAAACGAAAAAAUGCCUGAUAAAAUGAUAUAAAAUAAAAUAAAAUAGACGAAAAAAAAAAUUUAAAGCAGCAAUACCCUGUUCGCUCGUAUCUUCUCUUUCGCUAAAUCGUAUUGAAUUUGUAUUACAAGUUACACGCAACUACUCGUUUUUUUAUUACGACAACGAUUUUCGGUAAAUAACUUAAAUGAGUGAUAACAUGUCUUUUGGGGUACAAGUAGUAAAUUCUACAUUAGGGGUUUUUUUUUAUCCUUCAUUUUUCAACGACUAUAAAAAGGAAAUAAAGCGGGAUUUAAAUCUCUUUUUUUUCUCUAAUUUUUUACUCAUGAAUUUUCCUUCUUUCCCUUCUUCCAUGCUCUCUUCUUGUAAAUAGAAACCACUCCAUCCCCCGUCCAAAGAAUCAACCAAGCCGCUGUAUCGCGAUUUCGAAAGUAAUAUAGGGUCCAGAAUUUAAAAAAGAACACCGCUUACACUGUCAACCUUAAUAGAUUAGUACUCGAACUUUUACCGAUCGUCCCCCUUGUUUCAAACAAAAAAUUAUCAAAUACUCGGUAACAGUGUUCGUUAAUGUCUUUAAAUUUGCAAGGUUUCGUUAAAGCGCUGGUUCAUUUUGCAAUGCAAGUUCAUUAUACAAAAUACAUUGUAAAUAUUGUAAUGUAGCUUAAAAAGUUUUUAGAACAAUCAAUUUUUUUAUUCUGCUAAUACCGCAUAACGGAAUUUCUUGUAUUACAGAAU
rnacentral:lncRNA from 1 species